rnacentral:rRNA from 1 species
UCGCCCGCCGCGCGCGGCGGGCGGGGCGGGGGCACGGGGGGCUACGGGAGGCAGCAGUGGGGAAUAUUGCACAAUGGGCGCAAGCCUGAUGCAGCCAUGCCGCGUGUAUGAAGAAGGCCUUCGGGUUGUAAAGUACUUUCAGCGGGGAGGAAGGCGAUGCGGUUAAUAACCGCGUCGAUUGACGUUACCCGCAGAAGAAGCACCGGCUAACUCCGUGCCAGCAGCCGCGGUAAUA